GCAUUGAUGUUUCCAUUCAUGGUGGGCGUUGGCCUCCCAAAUUGUGUUCCCUUGCAAUAGGGGGGUUGAAGAAGCCCAUAUCAGAGUGGGGGGAUCUGAAUUUUCCAACUUCCCUUGUUGACCUAACGUUAUAUGGUGAACCCCAUGUGAGGAAUUAUAGUCAACUGUCCCACCUUUUCCCUUCUUCUCUUACUAAACUGGAAAUAGUAAGAUUUGAUAAUCUGGAAUCACUAUCAACGGGACUCCAACACCUCACAUCCCUUCAACAUCUGGACAUUGAAGAUUGUCCAAAGGUGAACGAUCUACCAGAGACGCUGUUACCUUCACUUUUGAGUUUGGAAAUAGAUGAAUGCCCAAAAUUGAAAGAAAGGUGUGAAGGAAGAGGCUCCCACUACUGGCCCCUCAUCUCUCAUAUCCCCUGCAUCGACAUAAGUGACUGGUAAAGUCAUUGAAAACAGACCCCUCAUCUCUCAUAUCCCCAAAAUCCAAAUAGAGUGGAGGACCCUCUAACCAUGAAAUUUUAAAGGAUGAACAUUCACAGUUGAACGAGACAUAUGAGAGAACAGAGAAAAGUCUCAACCUAUGAAUGAGAGAUUUUGGCAAUGUAAUCUUCAGGAAAAUGGUGUAAAUCUCGGGCAUAGAUUGACUGGAUUAUUCGUAUUCAUGAUAUACCAGGUUGGAUUCACUAUUCAAAGAUGCUUUUGGAAUUGAUUUUUACAGCAUGUGUAUACUUUAUAAGUACACAAAUAA